UACGUAGGGUGCAAGCGUUGUCCGGAAUUAUUGGGCGAAAGAGCUCGUAGGCGGUCUGUCGCGUCGGCUGUGAAAACCCGGAGCUCAACUCCGGGCCUGCAGUCGAUACGGGCAGACUGGAGUUCGGCAGGGGAGACUGGAAUUCCUGGUGUAGCGGUGAAAUGCGCAGGAUAUCAGGAGGAACACCGGUGGCGAAGGCGGGUCUCUGGGCCGAUACUGACGCUGAGGAGCGAAAGCGUGGGGAGCGAACAGG
rnacentral:rRNA from 1 species